rnacentral:tRNA from 1 species
AGUAAUGAAGCAACAAUUGCACUCAGUUUCGACCUGAUCUUAGACAAAUUUGUCCUUUACUU